CGCACAUUGCACCUUUUGGUAUUCCGAAAGGUAUGCCUAUUCGAGCGUCAUUUCACCUAUCAAACUUCAGUUUGGUUUUGAGUCAAAUCUAUUCUUAGAUUGACUUCAAAGAGAAUUAGUUUUCCAGUACAAUGAUCUGUACAAAGAAAAUUAUUCAAAACAAAUUUUUUAUGGCUGACCUCGAAUUAGGUAGGAUUACCCGCUGAACUUAA
rnacentral:misc_RNA from 1 species